rnacentral:rRNA from 1 species
GAUGAACGCUGGCGGCGUGCCUAAUACAUGCAAGUCGAGCGAACAGAUGAGGAGCUUGCUCCUCUGACGUUAGCGGCGGACGGGUGAGUAACACGUGGAUAACCUACCUAUAAGACUGGGAUAACUUCGGGAAACCGGAGCUAAUACCGGAUAAUAUAUUGAACCGCAUGGCUCAAUAGUGAAAGACGGUUUUGCUGUCACUUAUAGAUGGAUCCGCGCCGCAUUAGCUAGUUGGUAAGGUAACGGCUUACCAAGGCAACGAUGCGUAGCCGACCUGAGAGGAUGAUCGGCCACACUGGAACUGAGACACGGUCCAGACUCCUACGGGAGGCAGCAGUAGGGAAUCUUCCGCAAUGGGCGAAAGCCUGACGGAGCAACGCCGCGUGAGUGAUGAAGGUCUUCGGAUCGUAAAACUCUGUUAUUAGGGAAGAACAAAUGUGUAAGUAACUAUGCACGUCUUGACGGUACCUAAUCAGAAAGCCACGGCUAACUACGUG